UGCAGCCAGGGUCUAGGUCACGCCAUCCAGCACAGGAUGCAGAGGACAUUCAGGUGUGCCUGGCUGGGCGCAAACACUGGUGCGACGGCCACUGCCCCUCUCUGUUCCGUGUUCUUCAUACCACAGGGGUGAGCCAUCCUGAACGACAAUCUGUUCCCAGUAACCAUCUUAUUGUGAAUACUCUGGAGGUCUACAUCUUUCAUUUACGUGCUUAAAUCAUCAUCCUCAGAAGGGAUCCAAAGACUGUGCUGCUUCACCAGGUUCCAUAUAUAGAAAUAUAGGAAGAAGAGCGUUAAGAAUACAUGAAGAAUAAGCUUUGUGGACACAAGUCUCCUGACUUUUCUGAGCAAAGUUCAGUGCCAACAGGCACUCUGCUAGCCCUCCUGAAAACACAGACCAUGAGCCCUACGAGGGAAGGGCAACUUCAGCCUGCUGCCCUAACAGCCUCCACUGAGGUCACCUCUGCCCAACAGUCUAAUGGGCACCUGCUCUGAUCUCUUGAUGGCUCUCAGAACCUCAUGGCUGUGGACAGCUGCCCUGAACUCCAGCCUCCUGUGAUCCUUGCUGUCAGGAAUGCCAGGCUGUUGAACAGGGUCUGCUUAUCCAGGAAGUGGUGCCUAGCACUGACCCUGGGUUCUGGCCAACCCUUAACUAAAUUCCGCUAGAGCACUUACUCAACGAAGACUGCAGGCAACUCCAGCAUCACUACCAGCCUCAGUAUCCUCGUGUCUACAAAGGGGAGAAUCAGAGAAAGUGAUGUUGGAAAGAUGCCGUGAGGACGUGACAGGGUGGCGCACGAGCCGUUCUCUAUAAAUGUUAGUAUUCAUCGAUUUGCUGUGGUCCACCAUUUUGCACAAUAAAGAUGUGUGUGUGUG